AUAAAAUCUCAAUCUUAUCAAAAGUACUUGACACAAACGUGAAAGUUUUUUUAAAACCGCCUAUCCACUUAACCCAUUUCACUCAAAUCGCCCACGAACUGCCUUCAGUACUCCCGUUUGUUUCUUUGGUCUUCAUUUCUCUGCAACAAGUCGAUCGAGUUGCUCUUCAUUUCUCUGCAACAAGUCGAUCGAGAAGAAUUUCAUUUUACGAGGGAGUUCUUCAAAAGGGUUGAAGAGUGAAAUUUUUUGUAGAGUUCCAGACUGUACUUCAAGCUAUUUUUUUCUGUAUUUCUUCACUACUGCACCACUAUGUUCUAUAAUCCCAUUUUCUCUCAUUUUUAUAUUGUUGGUUACUUUUCAUUUCUCUGUAACCAGUGGAGAAGAAGGUCUUUCAUCGGAGUUCAAAGAGUGGAAGAUUUUUCAAUCUACCGAAGUGUACUUUGAGAAGAAGGUCUUGCAUCGGAGGUCAGAGAGUGGAAGAUUUUUCAAUCUAUCCGAGUGUACUUUGAGGUUUGCAUACAUGACACCAAAGAGUAGGAAGAAGCGAAAGGCAGAUAGCGAGAACGUGGAGAUCAGUCCAAAGAAGGACAAUGUUGUUGCAUGGCAGAAAUAUCCUAUUCUUCUUUUUAUGCAUUGCUUUUAAUGGAUAAACCUAUAUUGUAAAAUUAAAAAUUUAAUUUGCUAACUCACUUUUAUUUAUGCAGCAAAGCACAUUAUAAAGAUUAUUGGGCUGCACACAAGGAGAUGACUAAGAAAGAGAUUGGCAAAGGAGAAUUUGAAGAAAGAAUUUAAGGCAAUGCCAGUGGACGAGAAAGCAUAGUGGAGUGGGGUUGAUCCCAUAUAGGAGGAAGAAUUAAGUAAAAAGGAUAUGGGUCCUAUGGAGAAGAAUGUGAAAGGUGGGGAGGAGAAAGAUAAAUAGUCUGAAGUGGGUGAGGAGGAGGAUACGUUGGAGGCGGAUGAGUCGCAUCGAGUUUCUGGAAAAAUGCCCAUUUGAAAGGCUAUCGCGCAUUGUAAAGUUAUUGAGCCUAGAGCAGAAGGAAGUUGCUCUCAAUGCCGGUUUUGACACAUUCAUAAGGGAGGAGGGCCCUUACAUUGACACACGGAUAGUCAGCUAUCUCAUUGAGCACAUUGACCCUUCCACAAGCAGAUUGGAUUUGUUUGGCAUGUCCAUCCAGUUGUCUUCCCGACUCUUCUCCAAUGUUAUGACCGUAAAAUAUGGUGGGGAACAUGUGGUAAUUGAGAGUGAGAGACAUUUCAAAGCUUGAGGAGCUAUUGGGGGCAGGAAGGUACACGAUAUCAGUGACUGCUUUGGAGAAGGACUUGAAAGAGUCCACCAAACCUGAUGCACUCUUCCUUAUAAAGUUUGCACUCAUUGCCAUCGUGUUCAUUCUAUGCCCGAAGACUGGCACUGACGUAUGCACCAAUUACCUUCACUCCCUGAUAGAGACAAGUGGCAUUUCAAAAAAGAACUCGGCGUCUGUGGGCUUUUGAUACCUAAAGAACUCAUUAUUUAAGUAUUAGACUCACCAUACAAAUAAUGUUAGUGGUUGCACAAUUUUCUUGCAGGUGAGCUAAUUCGUAGUUGUGUAUUUUUUUCUAGUUGGUUUAGCAAUGGGCUUGAUGCUUUGUUCCUUUAUCAGCUUAUAUAUCUGAUGCAUUGGACUGGAAUAAUAGUUUUGUAGACCGCACCGUGGGUCCAAUCGACUUUUGGAAUGCCAAGCAAUGCAAGGUUGUUUACCACUGGAUCUGCGACCAUGGCAGUCAUUUGAGUGAAUUGGUACGUACGUUUCCUAUUGAGUUUUGGUAUGUUUUGUAUUGAUAUGGUUGGAUUAUGUGAAUGAUAAUCUAAAAUUAAAAUUAAUGUAUAGAUCAAGUGUGACGUCUCGUGUUUUGAACACACGUUAAUAGACGGUUCGAGUCGGUGAAGAAUUAUGUGGAAUAUUAUUUUGAUAAAUGAUAUUAUAUGAAAUUGUGUUAUUUCAUGAUUUUUAUAGCUGCUGUGAUGAUCUGGUAAAUGGUCUAGGCUUAUGCAAAGAAAGAUUGGUCUUGGACCAAGGGGUAAACCCUAAUGGUAGAAAAAUCUCAGUUUUAAAUAAAAUGGGGGACUACUAUGGCAUAAAAAUAUUUUUUGCAACUGAGACUUUAUAGUCGGGCCAAUAAAUAUUAAGAGAAUGAUUGAGGUUUGAAUUCCAAUCAACUAGGCUUAAGAAUAAUUUUUUUUUUGCUCGGGCCUCUAAUGGCAUUUUGGUCAAUAUGUGAUAAUUGCCAAAAUUAUGUGAUAUUGUGACAAAUUUUAUUUUUUUUGUCACAAAUUAAUGUAUUUAAUUAUGCUUGGAGAUUUAAAAACUAUAGGUUAAAAGUUUAGGGAAAUUUAGAGCACAAAAUUACCAAAGGGCCCUUGAGUUCUUUAGGUGUGGGGUAAAAUAAGUAAGGGCAUAAAGGUAAAUUUCAAGGGCAGAGAGAGAGAGAGAGAGAGAGAAAAAGAGAGAUAGGCGGCAAGGCUUGGGGGUAGACCCUAGUACUCUCAUGAGCUAGGUAACAUACCCCAAAGAGCCAAGAAUAUGAAGAGUUUCACCCUAUUCACAAGUUAAGAGCUUAAUCAUUUUGUUUUUCUCUCAAACACUUCCUCUCCAUCACUCUCUCCCCAAAUCCAAAACCCUCUAUAUCCCUAACCUCCAUUGCUGCAACAAACUCCUUUCUUAGCAAGCUACACUCAUCUUCUCCAUUGGAGAAGGAAGAAGUUCAAGAAGAAAUCCUUGUGUAGUGUAAGUAUAAACCUCCUUGUGCAUUUUCUUCUCUUUCCCUUCAAACCUGAAACCCUAGAGGGUUUCCUUAUGCCUGCAUGUAAUUUAAUAGCCAUGCAUGGCAUUGAUCUUAUAUUUUAGGGUUCAAGAGAAGCUUUCACUAGUUGGAUCUCAAAGAUUGAGCACCUUUGUGAUCAAAUAAGGCAAGGUAAGAGGUUUCUGUAAGUUUGCAUGUUCUUGUCCCUCAUCUAAGUUCUUCCUACCCUAAUCAUUUCUUAAAAAAAUCAGCAUGUGGGACUUGGGGCUUGGUUUUGAGAGUGUAGAGCACAAAGGGAAGUUUUUGAAGAGCCAGGGAAUACCUCUCCAAGAUAGAGCUUCAAAAGGUAGAAAUCUAUCGUUGUUUAUUUGAGUUUUGUGAUGAUUUUUGUAGAUCUGGUUGUAUAGGGUGUUUCAAUAGUUUUUGGAGUCUAUUUUAUGCCUAAGGUUGAGACUGCGUGAUAUGAUGAAUUGAAUGUAUGCAUGGGGCUAGGGUUUAUGCUAGAAAUGCUUGUUGUGGUUAAGUGUGAGUAAAAAUGAAUGAUGCCAAAAUUCCUGGUCUGAUUUCCAAUGGGUCAGAUCGCACCCUACUGCCUAUAUUUGUGAAAAUAAUUUAUGUAGUUGUGAAGUUCUUUGAGUGUAUUUGAUGUUAGGAUUUGGAA